AUGGCGCCGGAGAGUGAGUUGGCGCUGAGGUUGAGGUACACGAGCGAGGAGCCGGAGCGAGCGGCGGGGAUCUCCCUGGUGAGCGCGUUGGUGUUGAGGUCGAUCGUCCAGAGACGGUGCAAGGAGAGAAGCUUCGCCGGGGAUGGCGCCCGCGAGGAGGUUGAAGGCGAGGACGAGCAUGGUGACGGCGGAGCACGCGGCGAGCGCGACGGGAACGGCGCCCGUGAGGUUGUUUCAGCUGAGGUCGAGCGCGGCGAGCGCCGGGAGCGCACAGAGGCGCGACGCGGACGCGGCGAGCGCGCCGGAGAGCCCUGUCCCGGAGAGGCACGGAUCGCCGGCUGCAAUAGCGACCGGCUCCCCAUCUACGAGACCGGCCUUGACGACGUCGCCAAGCAGUGCCGCGGCCGCGGCCGCAACCUCUUCUUCAGCACCGACGGCACCGCCGUGAAGGUCCUCAAGGAUGUCUACGUGAAGGUCCUCAAGGACGUCCAUGGAGGCAGGCCGCGGGUCAUCGGCAUCAACGACUGCAAGAGCCGCUUCAUCUACCACGUCGUCUCCUCCAUGUUCAACACCGUCGCCGUGAAGAAGGUGGCCAUGCUAGGUUCGCCUUCAAGAAGGAUACCGGUGACACCCGCGAGACACCGUUUGACUGGGACCACGCGCACCCUCGCCACCUGCCGCCGGUGGGCCGUGGGCGAGCCCGCCGGGCAGCCCGUCACCGUCACGUCGGACGCGUACGAGGCCGUCCGCGAUGCGCACGCCGUCUGCAUCCUGACCGAGUGGGAUGAGUUCAGGAGCCUCGACUGCUGGCGCAUGUACAACGUGAUGCAGAAGCCGGCUUUCGUCUUCGCCGUCGCAGGAUUCAUCAUCUAUGCAAUUGGCAAGCCGCUUGACCAAGCCCAGUGGCUCAAGGUCAUGCCAGCCGUCGCCUGA
rnacentral:rRNA from 1 species